CCUACGGGCGGCAGCAGUGAGGAAUAUUGGUCAAUGGACGAAAGUCUGAACCAGCCAUGCCGCGUGCAGGAUGACGGCUCUAUGAGUUGUAAACUGCUUUUGUAAGAGGGUAAACGCAGACACGUGUGUCUGUUUGUAUGUACUAUACGAAUAAGGAUCGGCUAACUCCGUGCCAGCAGCCGCGGUAAUACGGAGGAUCCAAGCGUUAUCCGGAUUUAUUGGGUUUAAAGGGUGCGUAGGUGGAUUGAUAAGUCAGUGGUGAAAUCCUGAGGCUCAACUUCGAAAUUGCAGUUGAUACUGGCAGUCUGGAGUGUAGUAGAGGUAGGCGGAAUGCGUGGUGUAGCGGUGAAAUGCUUAGAGAUCAUGAAGAACACCGAUUGCGAAGGCAGCUUACUGGACUGCUACUGACGUUGAGGCACGAAAGCGUGGGGAGCAAACAGGAUUAGAUACCCGUGUAGUC
rnacentral:rRNA from 1 species